rnacentral:rRNA from 1 species
UACGGGGGGGGCAAGCGUUGUUCGGAAUUACUGGGCGUAAAGGGCUUGUAGGUGGCCAACUAAGUCAGACGUGAAAUCCCUCGGCUUAACCGGGGAACUGCGUCUGAUACUGGAUGGCUUGAGUGUGGGAGAGGGAUGCGGAAUUCCAGGUGUAGCGGUGAAAUGCGUAGAUAUCUGGAGGAACACCGGUGGCGAAGGCGGCAUCCUGGACCAUAACUGACGCUGAGGCGCGAAAGCUAGGGGAGCAAACGGG